rnacentral:rRNA from 1 species
GACGAACCGAGCGAGCGUUGUUCGGAAUCACUGGGCUUAAAGGGUGCGUAGGCGGGUGAACAAGUCAGGGGUGAAAUCAAUGGGCCUAACCGGAAAAGUGCCCCUGAAACUGAACAUCUUGAGGGAGGUAGGGGCGUGUGGAAAUUCCGGUGGAGCGGUGAAAUGCGUAGAUAUCGGAAGGAACGCCGGUGGCGAAAGCGACGCGCUGGACCUCUUCUGACGCUGAGGCGCGAAAGCCAGGGGAGCAAACGGG